CGAACGCUGGCGGCGUGCCUAAUACAUGCAAGUAGAACGCUGAAGAGAGGAGCUUGCUCUUCUUGGAUGAGUUGCGAACGGGUGAGUAACGCGUAGGUAACCUGCCUUGUAGCGGGGGAUAACUAUUGGAAACGAUAGCUAAUACCGCAUAACAAUGGAUGACACAUGUCAUUUAUUUGAAAGGGGCAAUUGCUCCACUACAAGAUGGACCUGCGUUGUAUUAGCUAGUAGGUGAGGUAAUGGCUCACCUAGGCGACGAUACAUAGCCGACCUGAGAGGGUGAUCGGCCACACUGGGACUGAGACACGGCCCAGACUCCUACGGGAGGCAGCAGUAGGGAAUCUUCGGCAAUGGGGGCAACCCUGACCGAGCAACGCCGCGUGAGUGAAGAAGGUUUUCGGAUCGUAAAGCUCUGUUGUAAGUCAAGAACGGGUGUGAGAGUGGAAAGUUCACACUGUGACGGUAGCUUACCAGAAAGGGACGGCUAACUACGUGCCAGCAGCCGCGGUAAUACGUAGGUCCCGAGCGUUGUCCGGAUUUAUUGGGCGUAAAGCGAGCGCAGGCGGUUUGAUAAGUCUGAAGUUAAAGGCUGUGGCUCAACCAUAGUUCGCUUUGGAAACUGUCAAACUUGAGUGCAGAAGGGGAGAGUGGAAUUCCAUGUGUAGCGGUGAAAUGCGUAGAUAUAUGGAGGAACACCGGUGGCGAAAGCGGCUCUCUGGUCUGUAACUGACGCUGAGGCUCGAAAAGCGUGGGGAGCGAACAGGAUUAGAUACCCCUGGUAGUCCACGCCGUAAACGAUGAGUGCUAGGUGUUGGAUCCUUUCCGGGAUUCAGUGCCGCAGCUAACGCAUUAAGCACUCCGCCUGGGGAGUACGACCGCAAGGUUGAAACUCAAAGGAAUUGACGGGGGCCCGCACAAGCGGUGGAGCAUGUGGUUUAAUUCGAAGCAACGCGAAGAACCUUACCAGGUCUUGACAUCCCGAUGCUAUUUCUAGAGAUAGAAAGUUACUUCGGUACAUCGGUGACAGGUGGUGCAUGGUUGUCGUCAGCUCGUGUCGUGAGAUGUUGGGUUAAGUCCCGCAACGAGCGCAACCCCUAUUGUUAGUUGCCAUCAUUCAGUUGGGCACUCUAGCGAGACUGCCGGUAAUAAACCGGAGGAAGGUGGGGAUGACGUCAAAUCAUCAUGCCCCUUAUGACCUGGGCUACACACGUGCUACAAUGGUUGGUACAACGAGUUGCGAGUCGGUGACGGCGAGCUAAUCUCUUAAAGCCAAUCUCAGUUCGGAUUGUAGGCUGCAACUCGCCUACAUGAAGUCGGAAUCGCUAGUAAUCGCGGAUCAGCACGCCGCGGUGAAUACGUUCCCGGGCCUUGUACACACCGCCCGUCACACCACGAGAGUUUGUAACACCCGAAGUCGGUGAGGUAACCUUUUGGAGCCAGCCGCCUAAGGUGGGACAGAUGAUUGGGGUGAAGU
rnacentral:rRNA from 1 species